rnacentral:lncRNA from 1 species
UAUUUUAUGCGAACUUCGUUAUUCUAAUUAUGUUUUGAGAUCAAAUUGCUGUGGUUUGAAUAUUAAUAUGAUUUUGGUAUAUGUUGGAUUAAAUGAAUAUAUUCAGAUUUGGUUUAAAUUUUGGAAUUUGUGAACUACGAAAGACUUGAUCCCGCUAACGGGUACGUAGGCAGUCUAACAAUGUUAGAUGCAGCCUUAAAUAACCGAGAUGAAUCAUACUUUGGAAUUUGUCUAAGAAGAGAAAUUGGUAGAUUAAUUUACUACAAUUAUCUUAUGCUCUUGAUGAAUGAGUUGGGUUAUGGAUUUUGUGGGUAACUCAUAAUUUGUCAAUCAAGAAUUAUUUUAUGUUGAAAAGUUGAGUUAUUAGAAGAAAAUUAGAUUUGAUAGAAAAUUGAUAGGAGCAUAUUUAUGCGCCUUAGUUAGCUAGUUCUUAUGCAUUUUUGUUAUGUUUUCUUAGUUAAAGUAGUCUUUUAAGCUAUUUUCAUGUGUUUUCAGGUUUUAAGGGCAUAUUAUACAAAAAGAUGCAAAGUGGAGCUUUUUGGAGCAAAAGUGAGCUUGGAGUGAAUAGCACAUGCUUGGAACAAAAGGUUUGGACGAAAUUGAAGAUUUGAAGAUUUGAGGAUUCCUAGUCCAAGAAGGAAUCCUAAUUGAAGAAGGAUUCCUAAUCAACGAGGGAUUCCUAGUUGAAGAUGGAUUCCUAGAAGAAUGAAGAUUCCUACUCAAACAAGGUUUCCUACUUGAAGUAGGAAAGUUAAGCCUAGAAGUUGCUAUUUUGGGUUGAUCUUUCCUAAACCUAAAUGGCCUUAAGUUUCAGCAAUAUUAGAAGGUUCCUAAGCAUUGGAAGACACAAAGAAAGGUUGGAGAGCAUUUCCUUAUCCUUGUCGUGGGUUAGGGUCUAUUUUCUCUUGGUUUUGGGCUUCUAGAAGCCCUAUCCUUUUCCCCUUAAUCCAUACCGUACCUAGCCUUCUAGAAACCCCUUGUUCCUUGCCUUGCAAGGCAUUCUAGAAGCCUUAUCCUCCCUAUCCCUUAUCUGCCGCACCUUUAGGCCUUUUCCCUUGAAAAUUAUGAUUGUUUAAACCUAUUUCCUGAUGGAUUUGGCUUUCUAGAAGCCCUAAUC